GAGAAGAGAGCUUGUGAUGGGGAGGUCGUUGGUUCAAUCCCCAGACCAACAGGAUAAAAACUGGGUGGGGAAAAUGAAAGACAGCGCUUGUCCCUCCCUUAUUACCACCACUGAGGCUGGAGAAAGAAU